GCUUGGGGAACCCUGAGCCACUACGUAAAAGGUCUGGCCACCCUGCUAGAAGAGACCACACAGUGAGGCCACAUAAGGAGGGGCCCUCUAUCUAUGCAGGGAGAGGCCCAGGUGCCCCCCCACUCAAGGUGCCAGACGUGAGCAAACCAUGUCACAUUCCAGCACAGCUGAGCCCCACUGAUGACACCAGCUCUAGGCAACACACACGCAACAGAAGAGCCGCCCAGCUGAUCCCAGUUGAACCAGAGAAUGUCAUUGAGCACCUACUAUGUGUUCCGGGCAUAGGGCUGUGAGCAAGACAAUGUCUCAGCUCUCAUGGAAUUCACACUCUCCCUGGGAAAGACAAGAUGCAACCUGCCACAUUAUGAGCACACUCCAGCAGCUCUGUGGAACUGAGGCCUCCUUCCAAUAGCCAUGUGAGUGAGUCUCUUUGGAUGUCAAU